rnacentral:rRNA from 1 species
UGCAGUCGAGCGGAUCUUCAUUAGCUUGCUUUUGAAGAUCAGCGGCGGACGGGUGAGUAACACGUGGGCAACCUGCCUGUAAGACUGGGAUAACUUCGGGAAACCGGAGCUAAUACCGGAUAAUCCUUUCCCUCACAUGAGGGAAAGCUGAAAGACGGUUUCGGCUGUCACUUACAGAUGGGCCCGCGGCGCAUUAGCUAGUUGGUGAGGUAACGGCUCACCAAGGCAACGAUGCGUAGCCGACCUGAGAGGGUGAUCGGCCACACUGGGACUGAGACACGGCCCAGACUCCUACGGGAGGCAGCAGUAGGGAAUCUUCCGCAAUGGACGAAAGUCUGACGGAGCAACGCCGCGUGAACGAUGAAGGCCUUCGGGUCGUAAAGUUCUGUUGUCAGGGAAGAACAAGUAUCGGAGUAACUGCCGGUACCUUGACGGUACCUGACCAGAAAGCCACGGCUAACUACGUGCCAGCAGCCGCGGUAAUACGUAGGUGGCAAGCGUUGUCCGGAAUUAUUGGGCGUAAAGCGCGCGCAGGCGGUUCCUUAAGUCUGAUGUGAAAGCCCCCGGCUCAACCGGGGAGGGUCAUUGGAAACUGGGGAACUUGAGUGCAGAAGAGGAGAGCGGAAUUCCACGUGUAGCGGUGAAAUGCGUAGAGAUGUGGAG